CACCUGGGACUGCACGUCCGGGAGCGAUCUCAGUUGGGAGUGUCCAUCUACCACCGCUCGCCAAAACUUGUCAUGGCUUAUGUAGCCUGAUGAAGCCUAAUUAAAAAAAAUAUGAAUGUGUAAUUACACAACGCUACAUUUAUAUGGUAUUUCCAGAUCGCUAUUUCAAAAUUAUGCUUUCAAUUUUGUGUUAGGCGAUCCGAUGGCUUACCAGAUGUGUUACCAGAACCAGUAGCAUACUUGUGCCAAAAUGAAGUUGUUUUGCUAACGAACUAAAAUACAUGCUGGUAUUUAUGGUUACAGAUCAACGCUGAGACCGAGGUUUGAUCUGAGCACGUUGAGAAGCAAUGCUUUGUUAAGGUCACCCGUGGUAUGACAACGCUAAUAAAGGAUGCUGUGCCUGCCAACUUUGUUCGAGCCAAAGAGGAGAAUCAUCAUUCGCAUACCGUGUAUGGAUUCCAUGGAGUAUUCCAUCGAGUAUUUCUUCUGUUUCAAUCGUCUUGGUGAAGUUUUUGAGCUGGAUCUGGAUUCUGCUGAGGAUCCGUCGACUACUAGAUGGCGAGCCACCCACUCAUUCGAUUGUGAUCCUGUUCUACAUUGCGCAUGGCAUAUUUGGUAGGAUUGUGGCCUGCUCGUGUCACAUCACUGACUAUGACUGACUUCAACGCCUUGAACUGAACUGCUUGAAAGGAGCUAUUUUUCUUUUUGAACAACUUAAAGGAACUCUCUACAUCGUCUCUUUUGAGGAUUUAAAGGACUAUUUCCAAUUUUUGA